rnacentral:rRNA from 1 species
AGUGAACGCUGGCGGUAGGCCUAACACAUGCAAGUCGAACGGCAGCACAGGAGAGCUUGCUCUCUGGGUGGCGAGUGGCGGACGGGUGAGGAAUACAUCGGAAUCUACUCUGUCGUGGGGGAUAACGUAGGGAAACUUACGCUAAUACCGCAUACGACCUACGGGUGAAAGCAGGGGACCUUCGGGCCUUGCGCGAUUGAAUGAGCCGAUGUCGGAUUAGCUAGUUGGCGGGGUAAAGGCCCACCAAGGCGACGAUCCGUAGCUGGGCUGAGAGGAUGAUCAGCCACACUGGAACGGAGACACGGUCCGGACUCCUACGGGAGACAGCAGUGGGGAAUAUUGGACAAUGGGCGCAAGCCUGAUCCAGCCAUACCGCGUGGGUGAAGAAGGCCUUCGGGUUGUAAAGCCCUUUUGUUGGGAAAGAAAUCCAGCUGGCUAAUACCCGGUUGGGAUGACGGUACCCAAAGAAUAAGCACCGGCUAACUUCGUGCCAGCCGCCGCGGUAA